rnacentral:lncRNA from 1 species
CUGGCAAACACCGGGCUGCUGAAGUGGAGUGCACAAACUUAACUUCUGAGCCAUUGGGCCAGCCCCUCCUUUUUCUUUUUAAUGCUGUUUAUGUGUAGAAGAAGCCAGGUCAUCAGUCCUGCAGGAGCAUGCUUGUCUGGCUGCCCAUCACAUGGAGGUCUCAAAGCAACGGAGCUCCGUUCCCGUCACCUCUCCAGAGUCUCCAUGUCCCUCCUCCACAGCCGAGCGGUCACAGGGCUGGCCUCAGGGAGCCACACAGCCCUGGGUUUCCUGGACAGCUGUGAAGAAGGAGCUCAUCAGGCUUCACAGCCAGGACCCUGGGGGAGCUGUUACGAGCACACCCAAGAACAAGCUCUCUCAGCAAUUUUCACUUACAGCAGCAAGGAGUCAGUUGGGAAAACACAUCUUCUUGGAAGGAGUUCUCAGCUUCUGAUUCCUCUCUUCUCAGCCCUUCACACACUCCCUGUCACAGUAAGAUAUUUCAAAAGCCAACCAAGAGGAUAUGGAGUCUGGAAUCUUGCUCAAACAAUCCUAGAAGGUGCCAGAAGCUUCUUUCUCCAAGAGGCCGCCACUUUGACUGCAGCCCCAAAUGAAUCUUCCUCAGAACUGUUUGUGAAAGUGGUUGCCGGCUGCCUGCUCCGGCCCCCCUUCUACAGCCGUGCCUCUCACCCCAUGCCCGCAGCCACAGCAGGCCGCUGCAGUACCGUUCCAGCACCCAGCUCGUGGGUCUCCAUGCCCUUGUGCAUGGUCUUCUUUCAGCCCGGGGUCCAGCUCCGGCCCUUACUGAGCCUUCAGAUCUCAGCUUAUGCCUCGGCUCCUCCAAAAGGUGGGCUGCCCUCAUCUCCUCCUCUCAGAAGGUCCCCUUUCCCCUAAAGUGGCAAGUCAAUGACAAAACCCCAGUGAGGCUCUCUCCCUACAUUUUGCCUCAUAGUGCAUAUUCUUCAUAUGACUAAAAUACCAUUUAAAGAGUGUCUGCUGUGUGCUAGACUGCUCAAUGCUGUACACAUAUGAUCUCCUUUAUUAUUCACCAGCAAAGUUUUAAGAGUGAUAUUCUAUCCCCAUUUAUGAAUCAAGAAGCUGAGAGUCCGGGAGAUUAAGUCCGUUGUCUGAGAUCUCAGACUCUUGAGAGAGUGGGGCCAGCACUCCUAACCAGUCGCUCUCGGCACCUGGAGUCCUCGAGGCGCCUUCAGCCAUCAUGUUCCACCUGCUGAAUGGAAUUUCCUUCCAGGGCCUGUCCCUAGGGCGUUGCCCCCACAGGGAGACUAGAGGUUCAGUCCAGACUUUCCUGGCCCCACCCUGAGCCACCCGCAGCCACCCUGAGGUAGGGGAGUUACUUCGCCUCUGUCCGUACAGGUUUUAUAAAUGUUCUAAACAACAAGGGGAAAAAGCAGCCAGUUCUUCCUCCACCUGCAUCCCAAAGCGGGAAGCCGCUGUUCAUGAGGCCUUCCUUGCACGAUGGACACUACCCGGAGCCGAGCUCUGGGCCCGCCCCCACCCUGGGCCGCCUCCUUCCUCCCAAGGAACGAUGCGGUGCGGUUCCCUGGGAGGGAAGGCUGCUGAAGAAAAUCAGGUUGACAUUCCUCCUGCGGCCUGCCAGAGACUCACGGCCUGAAGGAAGGAGGCGGUGAGGAAACCGAGGCUCAGACUGGGGACGUGGCUCCUCUCCAGGGAAUUCGCACCUGAGCCAGAACUGAGCCCCUGAGCUCCUGCUCACUGGAAAUUUGAUCCUGCCCACCCUCCAAGGGCAGGUCCCGGUUGAGGAAUGGUGAGAGAACACGAGGAGGAUGCUGGAACCACAAGGUGGGAAGAGGACUGUCAGACCAGGGGAUGGACCCAGAAGACCGAGCUCCCCAACCUCGUGAUUUGCUGGGGUGGGGCUUGGUGCCCAGCACCACCAGGUUAACACCCACUGAUGCAAACAUCACUCACCAUGUCUUCUGGCAUCAUUGUCCUGGCUGACCCUGUGAUCUAAGUGUGAUAUGCCUUGAACACGACACGCAGCCCUCGGGAGCAAGGGGCUAAAAGGCUGCGUCAGGAAGUUCACAUAAAAGAGGGAGAUUUUGCUGGAUUAAUGAGGUUGCACUGUCUUUUGAAAGGGCCUCAAGGAGAGUCAAGUCCUGAGUCAGCCUUGGCAUUAAAAGUAAAAUUACUAUGUACUUCUGUCCGGACUCAUCUGGAGCAGAUAGAAUGAUCUGGGCUUCAAAUAUCAAAAGCCUCUGAGGUAAAUGGCUUAAAUGACGAGGAAUUUGUGAUCUCAUGUAGCAAGCAGUCAGAGGCAAGGCCCUUGUCGAGGACCCAGGUUCUUUUCAUCUUUCUGCUCUGCUCUCCUCUGUCCUCAGGUUGACCCCCUCAUGGUGAAGCUGUAAUAGACCCAGUUGUCACAUUUUCAUGACAAUUUCCAGAGACUGUUUCUUCCCAUGUGAUUUUUUAUCCUUUUAAUCAGGGAGGAACCUUCCCUGGAAGCCUCCAGCAGAUGUCCUUUCAUCUUUUAUUCGUCAGAACCGUUUUGCAAGCACACACUGAACAGUUCCUGGCCGGGAGAAUGAGGUCACUACAAUCAUCCUGAUGCUCCUGUCCUGGGGGCUGACCACCACUUUGAGGCACCUGCCAUGAGAGAAGCUCCCAGACACGAUCUGGUUCUGCCAGGAGGGAGGAAGGAGGGACUGGCUGGUGGGAGGGUACCAACGGGUCUCCUACACCACCUCACAUACCUCCCUCCUUCCAGAAAUUCCCCCAAGUUGGUGGAGCAGGAAGUCACGUUUAUAUAUUGUCUCAUAAUCUCACAAAAAGCCAUAACAUCGUGAUUUGAGAAAUGGGCAUCAUAGAAAAGGUAAAGCAGCAGAGCCACGGUCACUAAGUUCACAAGCGAAGGGGCUGAAUCGGAGCCGGGGCUUUCUAGCUCCCUGCAUGGCAGCUGCACUCUCCACACUCGGCCUCGGCCUCAUCCUCACCUGGGAUGGGCGAGGCAGCCAGGGUAAGGGCUGGCGGGCAGGCAGAGGGGCGUGGGGGAAGGAUGCGGCUGAGGGGCCUGGACAGGGCCUGGCUCUGAUGCUCAUGUUUGUGAAACUGCUCUUCUCUCAGCCUCAGUUUCCCUGUUAGUACAAGAGAGGGAGUAGACUCUGAAAUCUUCAAGGUUCUUUCUAGCUCAAAUAUCCUUUGAUUACAACCUUCUAAAAGAGGUCUGGGGCCCCAGAAAAACACAAAAAAGAACCUAGCACUUCUGUGGCUUGUCAGCACAGACGCCCCACGACCAGCAUCUGAGGGCUUCGGCUCCACCUAUUUUGGGCUCAUGAGUUCAUCCCGAGGCGUGUGCCAGCCCCUGUGGUUUCUCAUCUUUCCAUCCUGGUCUGUAUGACAAAAUGACUAAAAAUACCGAGCUCCCACAGGCCCGCCAUCCGGCUAACGCCCUCCCUUGAGUCAAUUUAUUUUUCAGUUUUGGGCAUGCUGCAGACAAGGGCCCUGACAAGCCACACUUGGCAGUUUCGACUCCCAGCAGCCCCACUCUGGUCCGUCAGUGCAGUCAGGUGGGAAGAGCACAUCCCUGCUCUGUCACUUUCCACUUUCCAGCUGGGUGAGUUCAGCAUGUCAGGAGCCUCGGAGCCUCAGUUUCCUCAUCUGGAAAAUGGGGAUAAUUAUUUCCAAUGUAUAACAUUGUGAGAAUUCAACAAGAUGACCUGGGUGAAGAGCCUAACCCAGACUGAGGGCUUGAGCCACAUCUGUUCCUAUUUCACCAUGACGCCUCCUCUCUCCUUGAUCCCUCCUAGAGGGUUCUGGCCUUGUGAUGGCUCAGACCUGGUGAUCCUGUUGCCCGCCUCCAAAUCUGAUGCGGGCUGUGUAAAGAAAACCCUUUCCUAAAUUGCUUCCUGAGACAGCCACAGAUGAACCAUGUAUGGUCACGGAGAGGAGGAAGGUGAUCAUGGGCAGGCCAGCAAAUCGCUCCACUCGGGUCUGUACGUGCCAUUUCACUGCACCGUCCCUGUGUCAGAGCCGCUCAAGUCAGCCAGUGCCUGGGCGCCUCCAGCCUCGCUCUUCUCUGCUGGUGAGUGCUGUGAGGCCCUCUGGAAGCCACAGUAAAACAUGAGCUAGAAGGCUGUCGGAUGGUCUGUCCACCGGAGAGCGCCAGCUUGGCGGAGUGGAGAACAUCUCAGCCUCCACCGCAAGGAGCCCCGUGAACUUGGGCAUAGGACUUAACCACCUGACUCUCAGUUUUGUCUUCUGCAUAAAGAGGAAAACUUGUACUUGCGUAGAGCAUGUGAGGAUCAGAAGAGCUUCUAGAGUUGCUGUAAGAAGUCAAAUUCAUUCUCGUUCCUCGCUUUUGGAAGCUUGUAGGAUCUUCUGUGGGUCCACAGUAUUCUAAAUGUCACAGUGAUGAGCCCUGGUUUGGUCUGAAUGAACCGGAUGAGAACAGGUGCACAUGGGCGCUCAUUUCUCUUGAAGCCUUUUGGAGAAAGCUUAUCGUUUCCAUCGAUUGCCCUAAGCUUCCCUCGGCAUGACCAUGUGACUGUACAAGGGGAUAUUCGAAGUGGAUGUUAAGGUUGGAGGAGUUCACAAGCUGGAGGAGAAAGGACAGGCCUGGCAGAGUGCACAAAGGUGCACAAAGCUGUGUACAGGGGUGUAAGGGAUUUGCUGAAUGAAAGAAUAAGUAGAUACAGCACCAAGUGGACAGAGGACGUCGCCUGAGCAGGAGGCCAGGCCCUAGGAGCUCCAAGGAGGUGGGCUUCCGGCGGCAGCUGGGCAGACUGGGAUCUUAGACCUCAGUCCUCCUGACAGCCCCGCUGUGGUGCCCACUGGCUGGUAUUUGUGGAACGGUCUCCACUAUGUUGCCAGGGAAACGAGUCAUCCUGUCACCACUGCUCACCGCUGCUGGGCUGCCAACACCCACCACGCCCAGCUCAGAGGCUGCGGUCGGCCCGUUUCUGCCAGAGGCACAUGCACACUCGAUUUUAUAUCAUGGGUUUGCUCGCUGGGGUGGGGGUGCCGCCUGGGGUGAGGGUGUUACCUCUGGUUUCUGGGUGCCACCAACCAGUGUCUCUUGGCACUGAGUUCUGGGCGACCAGCUCCAGGGGAGAUUUGGAUGGUUGAUGGUCAGCACCCAUGGGUGCUGGUCCCCAAGCCCCCCUUACUGCUCUCUGGUUAGACUGGCACUAUCUCCCACCAGGAGCGCAGACCACACCACACCCACAACACACACCCACACCACCCCACACCCACACACACCCACACCCACCACCUCCCCCCACCAUACAUGCACACACACAAACCACACACCAUAUACACACCACACAUACACAUCAUACAUACAACCCCGCACAGAUCACAUACACCACAUUCACACCAUACCACAUAACAUAUACAUACUAUACACACACACACACUGCAUGCAUACACCACACUACAUACUACACACCACACAACACCAUACCAUACACCACACAUACAUACACACCAUACACAUAACCUGCCCACACCAUGCAUACAUACACAUAUACCCCACACCAUAUACACACCCCACAUACAACACACAUGCCACACAACACAUCCACAUCAUGCCACACAUAACAUGUACAUACCAUAAAUAUACACACACACACACCACACAACAUACCACACACACACACACGCAAAACCCACACAUCCACAGAAUAUGAUUAUAUUGCAAGUGAACUCACCACAGCAUCACAGACCCGGCUCUCUCACUCGGCUCCCAGAAGCAAUGGCUUUGGACCCAGAUAAACCUGGUUCAAAUCUUGGCUUGGCCACUUUCAGCUUGUAUGACCUUGGGCAGGUAACCAGGUCCUGCCGCGCUGGUCUCCUCCUGCGUAAGACGGAGCGGCACAGCAGUGUCCAGGCUGUGGGGAGGAUUAGCCAUAACCUCAAGAGCCAGAGGCUGCUCUCGGGCCAGGUGCUGGGUUACAGCUUACCUCCGUUUCCCCACUUGGGACCUGAUGACGUCACCAUGGAAGCUCUUUGGAAAGUGCUCUGAGAACCAGGGUAGACAGCAAGCAAGGCUGCACACCUGUCCUCAAGCUCCCAGGAACUUUGUCUCCCUAUGAGCAGGAGGCUUGUUACCUGCCACAGAGGGCAGCUCUGGCCAUUGUCCUGUCACCACAGCACUGACCCAACCAGGGGGCACCGUCAGAGUCCAGCCUCCCUGCGUGACAGCCCCUGAGAGUGGCAGAGAGGGGCCACAGCAACACCUCUCUUUGGAUUUCCCUGUGAUUUAUCAUCCCUUGGAGAUGACAUGUUCUGCUUGGAAAGGAGAUUAAUUGAAAACACACAUGUUUAGAGGGCAGAUCAUUUCAUUUAACAACAUUCCAGCUGAAAACCAGUUGCAGACAACAGCUGGAGCAUGUGUUCUCCCCUUGGCCGAGCAGCCUCUGUCUUAGCAAACCAAACUGGUCCGGGCUUCUCUGGAUGUAUGUUUGGUGUCUUCUCUGCUGACACCUCAGGCGGGAUUUCCUGUGACUCUGGCAGGGCUGCUCCUGAGCAAACCACCCCCAUUUAUACAACGGUUCAACGGAAAAUCUCCAACGAUGGCUGGCAAACACACAUGUUCACACACACACCCUGAAGAUGCAGAAUAUGCUUUUCCUGAAUGCCUGAAUAUGUGCUUAUUUACUUGCAGGUGUGUGCUGUAUGGUAGAAAGAGCAUGGGACUUGAUAUAAUAAUAUCUGAUUUCAAAUUUUGUCUCCACCAUGACAUUUAAUGUCUCUGACCAGACAGUAAACUCUCUGAGCUUCCGUUUUUGCUAUUUGUUUACUGAGUGGGGAUGGAAGGUUGCUGUAAGCAUUAAACUGGACAAAAUCGUGCAUGCAAGGACCUGGCCCAGACCAGCAGUAAGUAAAGAACUGGCACGUUUAUCUCUCCUUUGAGAAAUUUAUCAGCUAUUAGUCUUUUGGUUUGGGAACAUAUUUUGGAAAAUGUUGGUCUAAAUGUAUAUUUCAUGCAUCCCCUCAUGUAUGCAUUCAGUAAACUUUUAUCCAUCACCUGCCCUGUGAUCGGGCACGACCUGGUGUUGAGGAAACAGGAAAGGCACUGUUCUCCUUUUGGAGGGCUGGAAGUCUAGUGGGAGAGGGGUAGGAUGAGUGAAGCACCUCCUGCCCAGCCCCUCGGUCCAGGCCGACCCUGCUCCUUGGCGCAAUAGUCCUGAAAUUCAAAUCUGAUCCGCCACCCUGCUUUAUACGCUCUGAGUGGCUCCCUAGUGCCUCAUGGUAAAGCCCUCAUGCUGUGGGUGCUCUGGCCCCAUAGCCCCUCCAGAUCCACGUCCUACCUCCUGCUUCCUCCUUGCCCUGCACCCUCUAGCAGGACCGUGCCUGUGGAACUCACCCUCUACGUCCUCGUGCCCUUUUCCCUUGUCUGCACUGCCCACUAGCACUCCCACCGCACGGCUUGAACUCCUCUUCCCCUGAGUGUCCCUGUCCCUUAGACCCAUCACGAGGCGCUGCUGUCCAGUGCUGGCUACUAACAUGUGUCUUGCCCAGGGGCCCCUCAAGGGCAGGGGCUAUGUUUUGCUCACUCUGAUUCCCUGGGGCAAAGUCCAAGGCCUGGCGCAGGUGCUCACUAAAGUCAGUUGAAUUGAAUAUUUGUUUUAAGAAACAAACUUCUUCUUUUGAAUGCCCCUUAUUAGUCAGCAGUUUUGGAAAGAGAAACCGUUCCCCAGAAACAUGUGACCCUCCCACCCCGUCCGAGGGGGGAGACGGCACCUGGGAGCCACAGAGCCACGGAGAUGUGGCCACCAGCUGCCCAAGCUCGUGCCCGCUGAACCAGAGUAACCCGCUUGGCUUCAUCUGCUCGUCUCCUGACCCUGCAUCUUCCAUCUCAAGUUCUGUUUUCUGCAUCUUGCCAUAUGGGCCCUUUUUGCCAAGUCAUCUCCACCAUUUCAGAAAGAGGAGUUGUGGCAUGUGGGACGCUGCCUCAGCGUGGUUUGAUGAGCAGUGCCAUGUCCGCGCCCAGGAUUCGAACCAACGAAACAUUGGGCCGCCUGCAGCGGAGCGCGCGGACUUAACCACUCGGCCACGGGGCCAGCCCUAAGAGGAGGUGGGUUUGUUUUUGAAAGCGCUUCCUGAUAUUCCCGGAGGCCUGCGGGGAGCGUCUGCGGUGAAGUUCAGUGUUGUCUGAAGCUUUCUAAGGCACAGCUCCGCUCAGGUGUGUCCACUGCCCCAAAACCUAUAAUAAAUAACAACGACAACAACAUCGACAACAAUAAUAACAGUGGUCAGCCACUGAGAACUUCCUGUGUGAUGAGCUCCGUACAGAUCUGCUCUCUCAUCCUCACACCCACUCUGAGUUAGCAUUCUUACACCCAUUUUAUAAUUGAGGAAACGGAGAGUUAAGGAUUAAGCAACUUGCCCAAAAUUAUGCAGUGUAGGGGCCACAUGUGUGUGCCUCUUAGAUUCUGACCACAGGAGCAUUGCUCACGGACAGCCCAGCUGCCGCCCUGAAAUCCGUCUCCACGAGGCCAUGCUUUCCAUGAGCCGCUCCCCGCCAGCAGCUGAGCCCGAAGAGGUGCGGGAGACAGGCAGCCGCAGCUUUGCUCUGGUAGGUGGGCGACUGUGGCUCGGGAUCCCCGACUGCCUUGCUGAACUCCCAGAACCCCAUUGCACCGUGAGAUGCUACCUUGGCCUCCCUUCCUUCCCGCCUCCUUCACCCGGGCUCACACUGCUUCAUGGUCUGACUGCUCUGCCAGCCUCCCCUGGCUCCCGCUCCGUGUUUCCUCACCCGCAUUCCCGGAGAAAUCUCAUGCACAGCUAAUCCCAUCUUGGCAUCGCUUUUGAAGGACCAGGAGGAACGCACACAGCUAAAAACCAGUAGUUUGAAGGCCUUCUGGUUGAACCCCAGUAUCAGUUCUUCCUUCCACACUAAUGGAACUUGAGCCUGCCUCCCAGAGUAGUCUGCAUUCCCAGCCUCACUUGCACCUGCCUGUAGCCUCAAGCUAAGAUCUGGCUGUAGGAUCUGAAUGCAGCUGGUCUGAGGGACUUCUGGGUUGUGUCCCUAAACCCUGGAUGUGUUGGCCUGUCAUGAACCCCGUGAAGCAGGGGACACCUCAGGGAGAGCAAAGCACAGAAAGAGCCCGGGCCUCUGGCAGCUCUGCAGAGCAGAGCUGCAUGCCUGCAAGGACUUCUACACCAGAGGGAAAGACUGGCAUCUUGUUUAAAUCACUGUUACUUUGAGCAUCUGUUACAUUUACACAGCCGAACCCAAUAUCCCAACCCACUCAGAUUUGAAUCUAGGCUUAGUGUCAAAGCUUUGGAUUUUAAAGGGACUCCAAAGUCACAUCAUUUGUGGAAGGGAUCCCAGCAUGGAGGGAGGUAAUUGGCAAGAGGCAGGAAGUAUAAUGGUCAAGAGCCACUGUGAAUGGGCCUCAGGCGGUGCCGGCACAAAGGAAGCACUGGUAGCUUGCACAUGGUAGCUGUCAUUACUAUUACUGUUACCAUCGUUGUUAUUGAAGUCAUUUAAGCAGGGGCAUAACCAGAUGAGCAGGAAUGUGGAGCACUGUCUGCCACGGUCUGAAAGCCUGAACUAAGGCAGAGAAAUACUUUACAUAAGUUGUGGAGCAAUAAGUUGACAAGAUAGCAGGAAAAAGUUCAACCCCAAAUCAGUGGAGGUGCUUUUCCCGCCCCACAGGUGAAAGCCCCUAGUCUGUGCACCAAGCAUCAACUGCCCGUGGGCUUGAAGGGCUAGGGAAACGGAAUCAGCCGCCGUGGUUGAGUGGUUGAGUGGUUUGGGCCAGGCAUCGCCACCCCGCAUCCCGAGCACGGUGGGGUUAGGGAGGGCUUCUCGUGGAUACCAGGCCCAUGGGAGGAUCCUGGGAGUCAGCUCUUCCCCUCCCUCAUCCUGGGUGCAGCUAGAGGUAGGGGCUCGGCACAUCUGACCCGCCAACCCUGCUGGAGUGACCGGAGGACAGGAUGGAACCGGCUCCUCAGCCCAGCCUCAAGAGUCUUCACAGCCUGGGGCACCCCACUUUCACACUCAGCCUGGUGGACUUCUCACCAUCGCCUCGAACCCCACCCUUGUAACUGUGCUGUUCUCUCGAGGCUUUCCCUCCAUCUCCCUCUGGCCAGCUCCUAUUCACGCUGCAAUGCCCAGGUCCAAUGUUACCCCUGUGAAGCUGAGCCUCCCCAGCUGCUGCAUGCUUUGUGCUUCCUUCGCUCUCCUGGGGUCCUGCUCACGGGCACCUUUCACUGGACAGAGGGCUCCCAAAGAGCAGGGAUCUCACCCGUUUGCCUUCUCUCCAUCCGCAGAAGCCUGCGAGAUGGUCGGCACGGGGAAGCGUUCAAUAACUGUCCGAUGGAUGAACGAAGACUCAGGCCACUCAUCCACAAGCCCAAAGUGGUCGAGAGUGGAGCAGUCUACCCACGUGCUCUUGCAGAAAAUGACAGGGAAUCAUCCAAGGACACUUGUGACAGGUGAGGACUGUCCCUGUGGAGAGGGGCCGUGGGGACAGGAUCGACGGGCGACUUCUGGGAGCUGAGUGCCAGGGCUGUGGGCACGUCAGCUCAAGAGCGCCCUGCUGUCAGCAUCCCCCGUGACAGAGCUGAGCCCGCUCUAGUGACGCAAUGUCAUCCAUCCCUUACACCCAAGCGGGUCUUUUACUUUAGCUAAUGCUGCAGUGAUAGUGCAGAUGGGGAAACUGAGGCCCCAGAGCUGAAGAACCAAAUUACCCGGUUCUAAAGGAGGAGUUUCCGACUUUCUGCUCUGCACGUGGGCCAUGAACCUCUGUGCACUUGUGAAGAAUAUUCUGGACUUGGAGUGAGAAUAUCUGGGUUGGAGAGAGGUUUCCACUUCUUACUGGCUUUGCAUUGAUACCUCUCUCCCAGAGCCUCAGUGACUCAUUUAUAAAAUGGCGAUAAAUAGUUUCCUGCCUGGUGACCUCACUGAGAUGUUGGAUCAGGAAGAAACAUACAUGAAAAGCUCUCCUAAUUUAUAAGGACUUCCUUCAAACACAGAUUUUAUUUCAUGUUUUUAUCUGAGGGUUGCAAAUUAGAUGAAAGACCAGGAGACCUAAAGUGUACACUCAGUAAAGUUAUGAUUUAAAAAGAAAAAAAUACUUGGGAAAAAGCUUGCAGGUAAGACAAGCAUCACUAAAAGAUUAAGUCUAAUAACCGGUGGGCUGUGGGGCAGGGGUUUUUGUCUUAUCUUGUGUUUGCCUUUUAAAAUCUAUUUAAUCUGACCUGCUGACUUGAGGACACGCACACGCACACACACACCACACAAACACACACACGUGCACACACCACACACGUACACAAUACCCACACCCACACACACCACACCACACAUCACACCCUUCACACACAUACCACACUCAGCUUGGCCAGACUUUUUGCCAACACAGUAGGAAAAUACUAGUUUUGGGCAUAGCUUCUUGGACAGAAGGUAUUAUGAUUAUUAUUACUAUCUACCACCAAAAACAAAAGUGGGAAAAUAUUUGCCUCAUAUAUGGUAACUAUUGGAUUUGUAUACUUAACAUAAAAGAGCACUUAAAAAUGAAUAAAUCAGGAAAAAUUUUUUAAUAGAAAAAUGGACAAGGCCCAAGGUAAGAAAUGUAAAUGCCCAAUAAGCAUUCAAAUAAACCCUAACCAUGUUAGAGACAAAAGAAAUGCAAGUUAAAAUAAGAAAAUAUAAUGUUUUGUCUAUAAAACCAAGAAAAAUAAGAAAUACAGCAAUAUCUACCAAAAGUCACAAAAGCACAUUUCACCACAGAAAUUUUACUUCUAAGAAGAUAUGCUAAAUAACUAAGAAAAUGCUCAAAGAUUUAGCUGCAAGAAUGUUCACCCCUUAUGGGUUGUCUAUUACGUGAAGGAUUGGAUGUAACUGACAGAACUAGUGAUAAGGGAUUGGGUAAAAAGAAAUCCUGACAUCUUCUUUUGCUGGGUUACUUGAGAGCCAGCCAAAGUGGUGAUCUCAAGGACACACACACGAGCAGGCAAACGCACACCACAUACACGCACACGCACAUGUUCUAGCAGGGUGUACACAGCAGGGUGUACACAAGAAGGUCACAUGUUUAAUCUCUAGGCGUGAGAUUAUGGCUGACUUUUAUGGGCUUUUUUCCUCAUCUUUAUUUUUGUGCUUUAUCUGCUGUGACCAUGUAAAAUAUCUAUAAUAAGGAGAAGUUUGGGAAUGCUCUCAUUGGUAGAGUGGCCUUCUCCCACGUUGUCUUCUUACAUGAAGCAUGGAGAGGUCAGGUGACUGCAAAGAUGCCACGGCUGGCCACGGGCGCCGAGGUGUGGACUCAGGUUUGCCUGCUUCCUUCCGCAGCCAGUGCUUUCUGCACUCAGUGUGUGCCCCUAACUGGCUGUGGGGAGCAGUGUGCAUUUGGAAAUGGGGCAUUCUCUCUGGUUCCUUAGAGAGUGGAGUUUCCAGAUGCUUCCCUGCAAGGCGUGGAGUGAUUGUGAGUGAGGGGCCUUUGGCAUCUCUCUGGUGCUCUAUUCAAACCAGGCUGGUUAGAACCCAUCAGACAUGGUCCUCUUUCCAGGAGCUCUGCAGCAUCCCAGAGGCCCAAAGCAGCCCACCCCCGACAAUUCAGAACUACCUGGGGCCUCCAGGAGCCACAGUUUAGUAUGUGUGAAUUUGCGGGACCCCCAGCUCUGUGAGGCUGAGCACUGGGUGGGGAGGAGCAGGAGCCAGGGACCUUUGGACUGCCCUGCCUGUGCACCUCAUGAGCUGGGAGACCUUGGACAAGUCCAUUUGCCUGGCUAAGUCUCAGUUUCUCCAGCUUCAAAACGGGGAUAGCAUUUUCUACCCCAUGGAGGCCUUGAAUGCCACACUAAGGAUCCCAGGUUUAUUCCAGUGGAGGAAAACUUGGCAAGUGAUUCUGCCAAGCAGAAUUCCAAGGAAUUCAUUCCACCCAUAAGGAUUGGCUGGGGCCUCAGCUGCAGCAGACAAGGCCGAGCUUGAAGGAUUUCCACUGUAGAGAGCACGUUCCCAGCUCAGAGAGAGAGAGGGGUAGAGGGGGAAGCAUGGCAUCUGAUUCUUCUCUGGCCCUGGAUCAGUGCUGUGAUGACCUUGGGGUCGGGGUCAUGUCAGCCUCCCCGACACGAGGAGUUUCUCAAUUUAGGGAUCCUACAGUGGCCAGGCAAGAAGGAGUGAGGCCCGUGCCUUCAUAGUUAGCAGACGCCUUGCUGCACCCUGCAGAUUUGGAAGAGGCAGAGCUCUCUCUGGGGAAGUUUUUUCCUGAUGCUUUUGGAGAAUAGGAGCCAUGUCUGAAAGACAAGAGAUUUCUUCGCUAAACUCUCUGUGGGCCCGCAAGUGUUUUCUCUCUUACACUGUCAUCCUUCAGAGAGUUAGAAAAGUUUGUUAUUCUUCUAAACCACUGAGAUAUGGAAGAUGGGCUUGUUACCCCAUUUUAUGCACAGGACACAUACUGCAGCGUGGAGCAGUUAGGUGGCCCUCCCCUAGUCAUAGCCUGUUUGUGGUGGACCCAGGAAUUUUAGUUCUGCCUUCUAAGCCAGUGACUUUUUCACAGCCUGCCCACACCCAUGAUGAUAUUCUGUAAACCUCUAAGCCCCGGGUGAAAUACUUAGGCAAAUUCACCAGUUAUUUUGCCCUCAAAACGAGUUUAUUUAGGAAUAACCCAAACAAUUGCAAUUCAGGACGUGCAUGCUACAGCAAACCAUAGGCAAAUCCAGAAAACAGAGAGGAGCUUCUUUUAUAGAGAAAAGGGGGAGUAGGGAGGGGCUGUUCUAAAUACAAGUCCACUGGGGGGGAAGCAAUAGUGCAGGGCAGCAAUGGCUUCUCAUUGGCUGAGCUGCGGUGUUUCUCAUUGGCUGAGCUGUGGCAUUUCUCAUUGGCUGAGCUGCCACAUUUCUCAUUAGCUGAGCUGCGGUGUUUCUCAUUGGCUGAGCUGUGGCAUUUCUCAUUGGCUGAGCUGCCACAUUUCUCAUUGGCUGAGCUGCAGCAUUUCUCAUUGGCUGAGCUGUGGUGUUUCUCAUUGGCUGAGCUGUGGUAUUUCUCAUUGGCUGAGCUGUGGCAUUUCUCAUUGACUGAGCUGCAGUGUUUCUCAUCGGCUGGGCUGUUGCUGGGUAGAGAGAGAAAUCUUCCUUUAGUAGUAAAGUAGUUGUACUUCCUGUUGAGAUGUAAGUGUAGGUCUCUUUCCAUUUGGUGUCAUUGACAAUGUACGAUAGGGCAUGAGAGCUCACCCUACCGGCCUUCCUGACUCCAAUUUAGUUAGAGUUUCUUUUAUUACUUUCCACAAAAUGAUGAUUUUUCCGCUUACUGGUUGUGUGAUCUUGAGCAUGUUAUUAAUAGAAUGGCCAGAUAAAAUGCAGUUAAAUUUGAAUUUCAGAUAAACAACAGUUUUUAAAAAACUUUUUAUUGAGAUUAUGAUAGUUUACAACCUUGUGAAAUUUCAGUUGUACGUUAUUUUUUGUCAGUCAUGUUGCAGGUGCACGCCUUCACCCUUUGUGCCCACCCUCCACUCCCCCUUUCCCCUGGUAACCACUAAUCUGUUCUCUUUGUCCACAUGUUUAACUUCCUCAUAUGAGUGGAGUCAUGCAUAGAUUGUCUGUCUCUAUCUGACUUAUUUCACUUAACAUAAUAUCCUCAAGGUCCAUCCAUGUUGUUGUGAAUACAACGAUUUUAUCCUAACAAAUAGUUUUUUAAUAUAAGUUUGUCUCAUGCAAUUAUUUGCUAACUCUGGUGCUAUAGAGUGAAUGUUUGUGUUUCCCCCAAAAUUCACAUAUUGAAAUCCUAACCCCAAGGUGAUGGUGUUAGGAGGUGAUUGGCUCAUAAGGGUGGAGCCCUCAUGACUGGGAUUAGUGCCCUUAUGAAAGAGACCCCAGAGAGCUCCCUUGCCCCUUCCACCAUGUGAGGACACAGCAAAAAGAAACUGUCUGUGAACCAAGAAGCGGGUUCUCACUAGACAUCAAGUCUUUUGGUGGCUUGAUCUUGGACUUCCAGCCUCCAGAACUGUGAGAAAUAAACGUCUGUUGUUUGUAAGUUCCCCAGUCUCUGGCAUUUUAUUAUAGCUGCCCGAACAGACUAAGACACCCAGCAACUCUAGUUAUUCCUCUAAAGUAAAAACGUAAAAGGCCAAACGGGGCUAUUGUGAAGAGUAACUGUGAUAAUGCAUUAAAGAAUCU